ACCCACGACAAAUCUUACCACUUCUUGCAUAUUCUAGUUCAGAGUUAAUGUGAAGAUAAUUUUUAUUUAUAAAUACUUAUACUAGUAUGAUAAAUGGAUUUUAAAUUCCCUUAACUACACUUGAAUACAGGUGUUGCAUGGCUGUUUUUAGUUCGUGUUGUGAAAUGUUAGGUUCAUUCCGUGAACGAACGUAAUCCUUAUCUUUAAUUACAAUGACAUUCAGAAUGAAUAAAAUUCAAUUGGAAUUUAUUGGAAUUCCAUUGAAUUCCGAAUGAAUAUUUAAUAAAACUCAUUCUGGAUUAUUGAAAUGCAAUUCUUUCAGUUCAUGAAUGAAGCAUUCAUAUUAACUUAAUUAAAGAAGUAUCUUUUGAUAAGAAAGAAUAAUUAGGCCGAAGACAAGUCCUCAUGACCCUUAUGGAGUGGGCUACAGACGUGCCACAAAGAUUUCUACAAAGGGAAGCAAAGAUGGAAGUCCGAGCAAAUCCUCAAAAGAA
rnacentral:rRNA from 1 species